AUCGGUAAUGCUUUAAUAGCUCUGCUUAGUAAGUGGAGUAUUGGGUGUUAUUUCGAAGUCAAAAACCCUAUCUUGGUUGAUUUACCCUAUAACCUGGAUUUUCGAGAGGCAGCAGAAUGGAAUUGUCUCAAAGUACUGACUUUUCAUUAUUUUCCACGCAGAUCCCUGAGGAUAAGAGAAGGAAAGGUUUUGUCUCGGGGAGGGUAGGCUUCUCCUAAAAAGAGAAUUCUGGAAGUCAACAUAAUUAAACAAAGAGGAAAAUGUGCCAGACAGGAGUGGGUGGGGGCUGUUUUCUCUUUGUGGUUGGUUGUGGUGCGUUCAAGAUUCCUCGCCUAAGAUGAGGUUCCUGAGCUUCCAGUAGCCGACUGACUGCCCGAGAGACCCAGGGCUCCGCGAGGCGACGGCGCAGGUGUCGAGGCUCCCUGCAGGCCAGGAAAAAGUGUCCAAACGCCUCGCGGACUGCAGCGGGGGAAAUGUCCCUUAAAAGUGCGACGAAGUGGGGAAGAAGGUGUAAUUACUAUUAUCAGCAUCUAUAAAGCAUCAUGCAUUUGCUGGAGUACUUCCUAGCACUGACCUCCUUCCUUCUGCGUUGUUCUUACUGGAUCUUUCUAUCAGCCAACAAUAUGGAAGUACCAAUACAAGGUCAAAUCAUUCCUGGAUUCAUCUGGAGUUACUUAACAGUUAAAUCAUUGGAAGUUUUGGUGAUACCUUUUCUAUAUGGAUUACAAUUUGAUCUCUGGGAAUUCUCCACCGUAAAAAAGACUCUUGCUAUUUGGAAGCCCAUGCCCACCUCUGACUUCCACUCAAAAUUGCUUUCCUCACAGUCUGACUGCGAGAGUUGUGAAACAUUGGGAUGUGCUUCUGAGGUGGGCUGUGGAAUGCCAUGUAAGUUGCUACUAUUUUUUCUGAAGGCGAUGGGUUUUCGUGCGCAGUAG
rnacentral:lncRNA from 1 species